ensembl:lncRNA
UUGGUCGUCCUCUCGCCUCUGUUCCCUCCUCGGCCUGGGGUUACUGCGAAUCUGGCGCUGAAGACUGAAGCUGCUAACGUUAUAUUCGGUAGGUUUUCUACUAAAAUGAGAGAAUUCAUCAAAUGGUAAAUGCAUUUGUUUUUGAAAGCAUUGAGUGCGGCAUUUCGCUGUUUCCAUGGUUUGAAACGGUAAUAGUGUGAGUGUUAAACAUUACGCGCUAACAUCUUUUUUGUGACGCACAACACCGUGUAGAAGUGUCCGUCUCGUCGCUGCAGAUGUGCAGUCUUUCUGCAGACAGAGCUGCUAUAACGAGGAACAUUUACCAAAAAUUUGAUUGACGUUAUCUAAUGCAAAAGUCUGAAAUUAGAGCACGUUUAAAAACUUCUAUUCGCUACUGUCUUGCGUUGCUUGUUCUCAGAGCUGAAUAUCAUGUCUAUCGUGUCGUCAUAUCUGCGUCAAGACACAAACGCGCUUCCGUGAAGUGUUUCUUAUGAUGAGUAACGUUUUGUUUAUGCAAGUAUCGUGAAAGUACGCAGCCCCGCACGUCACUUGUAGGAGAAAAACAUACAAUCCGUCCCGUCAGUUUGUAAACCGUACUCACGAAUUCUUAAACCGUUCCCUCGGUUUAACAAAAAGUGUCGGUUUAUAAACUGACGGGACGGAUUGUAUGUUUUUCUCCUACAAGUGACGUGCGGGGCUGCGUAUGAAUGUGAGUUAAAGGUAGGUGAAACUGUAAAUCUUCAGUUGUGUUUCAAAGAUAACAAAAGUCUUGGCUGAGUAAACUGAUGAACUUUUCAUUUUUUAACGAAUCCUGUAAUAAAAGUAUAUGGCCAUAUGUGUCACCCGAGAUGCUUGCUAAUGUCAGGUUGUGAACAGAGCCACUGUGUGACUACACAAUCAACUUAGCAGAAUGGUUCCUGAGAGAGAUGUUGUCAUUAAUUGUUUUUUUUUCUUUUUUUUCAAGAAGCCUCAGAAGACCUUCAAGGAUCCAGUUGACCUCUGAAUCAGCUGUUAAGAAAAUGGGACAGUUAUAUUGCUUCAAUUGGUCUCCUACUUCAUUUGAUUCCACCUUCAUUACAAGGCUGCAAGGGAUCUGGAAAAAUGUCAUCCUGUCAAGCUGAAAAACAUCUUCAAAAAGGUACAUUUGGACAUUUCUGUCAAUACCUAUUGUCUGCCUAAAAAUAUUGCCAAAUGGGUUGUAUAUGAAAAACACAUUUAAUAUUAAAAAAAAAACAGUUGGAGAGCUGACCUUGAGUGUUACUUUUGUCUUUUAUCUGCAGGCACUAACAAGAACAGCUUGAUUGCAGAGAAGAGACCACACAGCCAUACACGCUCACUGAUGGGACGAUGAGGAACAUCAUUCAUGGAUGCUACACAACUCAAAUCUACACGUCAUAUUUGUUCAUGUCUAGGUAAAUUUGAUGAUUUUGUGUUUUAUUAAUUACUUUGUUUCUGUGCAACACUUAAUGAAUGUGACUGACUAAUUAACCUCUACACAUCUGGUAUAUGCUUUAAAGUUGCCACUUUGCCCAUUUGUUCAAUAAAUGUUGAAAUGUAUACAUCUGUCUGAAGACUUUCCUGAUUUUAUGUCUAUCCUUUUACAUUAACUUUAUUUUUAUCAUAAUUAACAUUAUUUUUUUUGUUUGCACUGAAAAGAGGACAUUAUUAAUUAUGCUUAAAACAACAGCAGAGGUGUUAAAUACCCCAUAGUGUAAAAUUUGAACAGCAAUAGCAUGUGUAACACUUUACACUUGGAGUGUAAUUUUUCUAGACAUUGUUUAAAAUGAAAUGUAAAAUGUGAAAAUGAAAAGGAUUUAAUUAAAUUCUGAUUUUAAUUCAGUGUGUGUUAUAUAUAUAUAUAUAUAUAUAUAUAUAUACCUUUAGAAAUAACUGCAAAUUACAAGCUAAAUACAAAACUUAGUUCUAGAAUUUGCAUUCAGAGAUAGUUUGACAGCAAUUCCAACACAGCACAUAUGAGACCAAAUUGAAAAAGCUGAAAUGAACCUAUGUAUACACUGCAGAACAAAUAUUCCUCUGAAGAGUGUCUGACAUGUAUGUCUUGGAUCGUUAAUUUCAAUUACUAUCAAAAAAAUGCUUUUUGGAAAAAUAUACCUCAUACAUUAAUGGCAGAAGUCUAUAGAUAUAUUGGAUACAUUGUUUUAUAGUAAAUAAAAGAAACUAUGUAAACUCCAUACAGUAAUAGGAAAAGUAUGUAGAUAUAUCGGAUAGCUGCUUUAAAUUAAAACAAAGUUUAUAUAAAGUGAACUAUGAAUUAUUGGGAAAAAGUUUGUAGAUAUAUUGGAUAGUUGCUUUUUAGUAUUAUAAAACAAAGUUUAUAUAAGUGAACUCCAUAAAUUAAUGGGAAAGGUAUGUAAAUGUAUUGGAUAAUUGCUUUUAAUUACUAUAAACAUUUUUUUUAUAUAAAGUGAACUCCAUGAAUUUAUGGAAACAGAAUGUAGAUAUAUUGGAUAGUUGCUUUUAAGUAUUAUAAAACAAUGUUUAUAUAAAGUAACCCUAUACAUUAAUGGGAGAAGAAUGUAUAUAAAUUGGAUAGUUGCAUUUAAUUACUAUAAAAGUGAGUUUAUUCAAAAUAAACCCCAUACAUUAAUAGAGAAAGUCUGUAAAUAUAUUGGAUAGUUGCUUUUAAUUACUAUAAAAUAUUGUUUAUAUAAAGUAAUGACUAUAAAAAAUAUGGCUUUGCAAGCUAUUAUAAUGUGAUCUUAUUUUUUU